ensembl:misc_RNA 7SK 7SK RNA
GAAUGUGUGGGCAAUCCUGCAACAUGGAUCAUCCCAUUGACUCCAGGAUUGAUUAAACUGGCCUGGCUGGCUAGGCAGCUGUAACCAUCCUCCCUCACUACUCUUAUGACUCCAGCUUAAAGCUGUGAACUUGGCUGAAGAAGAACACCAUCCCCAAAUGGAGACUGCUCUGUAGUCAAGGGUCCAUGAGUAGGAAUGCUCUCCUAGUAAAAUCUCCAAGCAAGCUCUCAUUAUGAAGGGAUUUAUUUAUUUAUGAAGGGAUUAAUAUUUAUCUAUUAUCUUCAUAUUUAUUUGGAACUUUGU